CAGAGGCCCCAAGCGUUACUGAGAAUCACUGGGUUUAAAGGUGCGUAGGUGGCGCGUUAAGUCCGUUGUGAAAUCCCUUGGCUCAACCAAGGAAAUGCUUCGGAUACUGGCGUGCUUGAGGCUAUAGGGGUCACUGGAACUGACGGUGGAGCGGUGGAAUGCGUAGAUAUCGUCAGGAACGCCGAUGGUGAAGACAGGUGACUGGGCUAGUUCUGACACUGAGGCACGAAAGCGUGGGGAGCGAACGGGAUUAGAUACCCCGGUAGUCCACGCCCUAAACGAUGCAGACUAGACUGCAGCGGGUUACACCCCGUUGCGGUCGGAGCGAAAUUGUUAAGUCUGCCACCUGGGAAGUACGGUCGCAAGGCUA
rnacentral:rRNA from 1 species